AGAUCAUCCUAUCUGUUGAUAAGAGGAAGAACUGGUCCCCGCUAUGGCCCUUGUACUGAGAGUCCUGUGAGUUACACCAGCACUAGCUCUCAUUUAUAUAAAUUGAAGCAGAGUCUAAUUCCUUAAAGGCGUGAUCCAGCCCCCACUGAGAUGUGAAAUUGCUUCAACAGAAACAGGACCUGACCUUAACCGAGAGACAAGCCAGGACCUGGAGCAGCCCCAACUGCUUGACACAGGCACAGACACGCCGGCAGCCACUCCUCACCCUGCCUCAGUUUGGAUCGCAGUCAGUUCCUGGGAGAGAAUAGAAAUUCAUCAUGAUGAGCCGAGUGGGAGGUCAGAUGUCUUCCCGAGGGGGUUUCUCUUAACCUCCCUCUUAGGAUCUUGAUUACACACUCAACACAGAUUAACAGCAACAACAGGUGUCUGCAAAGACGCACAGAAUGUGUUCUCCCUGCUUGAUCCUUCCUGUUACGUGAUGGACUCUGCUCAGACGUGGUGGAGAUUGGUAGCACUGAGAUUGCACUCCAGUCAAGGAAUUUGAAAUCUGAUUUGAGGUGAGUCGUGCUCACAAUUAUGAGCUCCAGCUCAUAAUCAAAUUAUUUCAGUUGUGGCAGGGA
rnacentral:lncRNA from 1 species